UGGGGAAUCUUCCGCAAUGGACGAAAGUCUGACGGAGCAACGCCGCGUGUAUGAUGAAGGUCUUCGGAUUGUAAAGUACUGUCAUUGGGGAAGAACGGUUUUCUUGAAAAGAUUGAGAAGACAUGACGGUACCCAAGGAGGAAGCCCCGGCUAACUACGUGCCAGCAGCCGCGGUAAUACGUAGGGGGCAAGCGUUGUCCGGAAUUAUUGGGCGUAAAGGGCGCGUAGGCGGGCCUUUAAGUCCGGUGUGAAAGAUCAGGGCUCAACCCUGAGAGUGCAUCGGAAACUGGAGGCCUUGAGGACAGGAGAGGAAAGUGGAAUUCCACGUGUAGCGGUGAAAUGCGUAGAUAUGUGGAGGAACACCAGUGGCGAAGGCGACUUUCUGGACUGUAACUGACGCUGAGGCGCGAAAGCGUGGGGAGCAAACAGGAUUAGAUACCCUGGUAGUCCACGCCGUAAACGAUGAGUGC
rnacentral:rRNA from 1 species